rnacentral:rRNA from 1 species
UACGUAGGGUCCGAGCGUUGUCCGGAAUUAUUGGGCGUAAAGAGCUCGUAGGCGGUUUGUUGCGUCUGUUGUGAAAUCCCGAGGCUCAACCUCGGGCCUGCAGUGGGUACGGGCAGACUGGAGUGCGGUAGGGGAGAAUGGAAUUCCUGGUGUAGCGGUGGAAUGCGCAGAUAUCAGGAGGAACACCGGUGGCGAAGGCGGGUCUCUGGGCAGUAACUGACGCUGAGGAGCGAAAGCGUGGGGAGCGAACAGG